rnacentral:sRNA from 1 species
CUCACAUCAGGCACAGUUACAGGGGCUU